rnacentral:rRNA from 1 species
GUGGGGAAUAUUGGACAAUGGGCGCAAGCCUGAUCCAGCCAUGCCGCGUGAGUGAUGAAGGCCCUAGGGUUGUAAAGCUCUUUCACCGGUGAAGAUAAUGACGGUAACCGGAGAAGAAGCCCCGGCUAACUUCGUGCCAGCAGCCGCGGUAAUACGAAGGGGGCUAGCGUUGUUCGGAAUUACUGGGCGUAAAGCGCACGUAGGCGGGUAUUUAAGUCAGGGGUGAAAUCCCGGAGCUCAACUCCGGAACUGCCUUUGAUACUGGGUACCUAGAGUAUGGAAGAGGUAAGUGGAAUUCCGAGUGUAGAGGUGAAAUUCGUAGAUAUUCGGAGGAACACCAGUGGCGAAGGCGGCUUACUGGUCCAUUACUGACGCUGAGGUGCGAAAGCGUGGGGAGCAAACAGGAUUAGAAACCCGUGUAGUCC